GACGAACGCUGGCGGCGUGCCUAAUACAUGCAAGUAGAACGCUGAAGGAGGAGCUUGCUUCUCUGGAUGAGUUGCGAACGGGUGAGUAACGCGUAGGUAACCUGCCUGGUAGCGGGGGAUAACUAUUGGAAACGAUAGCUAAUACCGCAUAAGAGUAGAUGUCGCAUGACAUUUGCUUAAAAGGUGCAAUUGCAUCACUACCAGAUGGACCUGCGUUGUAUUAGCUAGUUGGUGAGGUAACGGCUCACCAAGGCAACGAUACAUAGCCGACCUGAGAGGGUGAUCGGCCACACUGGAACUGAGACACGGCCCAGACUCCUACGGGAGGCAGCAGUAGGGAAUCUUCGGCAAUGGACGGAAGUCUGACCGAGCAACGCCGCGUGAGUGAAGAAGGUUUUCGGAUCGUAAAGCUCUGUUGUAAGAGAAGAACGAGUGUGAGAGUGGAAAGUUCACACUGUGACGGUAUCUUACCAGAAAAGGACGGCUAACUACGU
rnacentral:rRNA from 1 species